UAAAUACUCCCUCCGUCCGGAAAUACUUGUCAUCAAAAUGGAUAAAAGGGGAUGUAUCUAGGUGUAUUUUAGUUCUAGAUACAACUCUUUUUAUCCAUUUUGAUGACAAGUAUUUUCGGACGGAGGGAGUACUUG
rnacentral:pre_miRNA from 1 species